rnacentral:rRNA from 1 species
UACGUAGGUGGCAAGCGUUGUCCGGAAUUAUUGGGCGUAAAGCGCGCGCAGGCGGUCCUUUAAGUCUGAUGUGAAGGCCCACGGCUCAACCGUGGAAGGUCAUUGGAAACUGGAGGACUUGAGUACAGAAGGGGAAAGCGGAAUUCCACGUGUAGCGGUGAAAUGCGUAGAGAUGUGGAGGAACACCAGUGGCGAAGGCGGCUUUCUGGUCUGUAACUGACGCUGAGGCGCGAAAGCGUGGGGAGCAAACAGG